AGGAGCUCCAAAGGAGAAACAAAUCUAUCUCCAUGUCCGAACAUCAGAAGCAGCACAUGACUGAAGAAUGCAGACCUCUUGCUGGGUAGUAUGCUUUAGAGCAUGAGUGUGGAAAAGGGAAA